rnacentral:rRNA from 1 species
AGAGUUUGAUCCUGGCUCAGGAUGAACGCUAGCUACAGGCUUAACACAUGCAAGUCGAGGGGCAGCAUUUUAGUUUGCUUGCAAACUAAAGAUGGCGACCGGCGCACGGGUGAGUAACACGUAUCCAACCUGCCGAUAACUCGGGGAUAGCCUUUCGAAAGAAAGAUUAAUAUCCGAUAGUAUAUUAAAACCGCAUGGUUUUACUAUUAAAGAAUUUCGGUUAUCGAUGGGGAUGCGUUCCAUUAGUUUGUUGGCGGGGUAACAGCCCACCAAGACUACGAUGGAUAGGGGUUCUGAGAGGAAGGUCCCCCACAUUGGAACUGAGACACGGUCCAAACUCCUACGGGAGGCAGCAGUGAGGAAUAUUGGUCAAUGGACGAGAGUCUGAACCAGCCAAGUAGCGUGAAGGAUGACUGCCCUAUGGGUUGUAAACUUCUUUUAUAUGGGAAUAAAGUAUUCCACGUGUGGAAUUUUGUAUGUACCAUAUGAAUAAGGAUCGGCUAACUCCGUGCCAGCAGCCGCGGUAAUACGGAGGAUCCGAGCGUUAUCCGGAUUUAUUGGGUUUAAAGGGAGCGUAGGUGGAUUGUUAAGUCAGUUGUGAAAGUUUGCGGCUCAACCGUAAAAUUGCAGUUGAAACUGGCAGUCUUGAGUACAGUAGAGGUGGGCGGAAUUCGUGGUGUAGCGGUGAAAUGCUUAGAUAUCACGAAGAACUCCGAUUGCGAAGGCAGCUCACUAGACUGCAACUGACACUGAUGCUCGAAAGUGUGGGUAUCAAACAGGAUUAGAUACCCUGGUAGUCCACACAGUAAACGAUGAAUACUCGCUGUUUGCGAUAUACAGUAAGCGGCCAAGCGAAAGCAUUAAGUAUUCCACCUGGGGAGUACGCCGGCAACGGUGAAACUCAAAGGAAUUGACGGGGGCCCGCGCAAGCGGAGGAACAUGUGGUUUAAUUCGAUGAUACGCGAGGAACCUUACCCGGGCUUAAAUUGCAUUUGAAUAAUCUGGAAACAGGUUAGCCGCAAGGCAAAUGUGAAGGUGCUGCAUGGUUGUCGUCAGCUCGUGCCGUGAGGUGUCGGCUUAAGUGCCAUAACGAGCGCAACCCUUAUCUUUAGUUACUAACAGGUUAUGCUGAGGACUCUAGAGAGACUGCCGUCGUAAGAUGUGAGGAAGGUGGGGAUGACGUCAAAUCAGCACGGCCCUUACGUCCGGGGCUACACACGUGUUACAAUGGGGGGUACAGAAGGCAGCUACCUGGCGACAGGAUGCUAAUCCCAAAAACCUCUCUCAGUUCGGACUGGAGUCUGCAACCCGACUCCACRAAGCUGGAUUCGCUAGUAAUCGCGCAUCAGCCACGGCGCGGUGAAUACGUUCCCGGGCCUUGUACACACCGCCCGUCAAGCCAUGGGAGCCGGGGGUACCUGAAGUGCGUA